rnacentral:misc_RNA from 1 species
UGGCUCUGGCAUCGAUGAAGAACGCAGCGAAAUGCGAUAAGUAAUGCGAAUUGCAGAUUUCAGUGAAUCAUCGAAUCUUUGAACGCACAUUGCGCCCGUCAGUAUUCUGGCGGGCAUGCCUGUCCGAGCGUCAUUUCAACCCUCAGAACCUCUUUUCGAGGAUCUGGUGCUGGGGAUCAGCCGCUCCGGCUGUCCCUGAAAUACAGUGGCGGUCUCACCGUAGCUCCUCUGCGUAGUAGUAUCACCUCGCACCGAAGCCUGCGGUUUGGCCACGCCGUAAAACCAGCCUUCGAACCCCACCCGGGCGGAGAAGACAAUUUACACCUUGGUUGACCUCGGAUCAGGUAGGGUUACCCGCUGA